rnacentral:lncRNA from 1 species
AAAAAAGCCCCUUUUAAACUAAAAACCUUUAAAGAAAGCUCUGAAGACAAACCCUUAAAUUGUACCAAUUUUAUUAACAGAUAAAAAUAACUUCAAAAUGAAGACUCUUCAGUAAGGGACACAAAGGUAUGUAGAGACUACUAUUGGUGAGACACCAGCAAACAAAAACUUUUAGCUCUGUUAUUUAAAAUCUGGAUGAGACAAAAAUAGAAAAAGCCUGUCUCCACAAACUAACCUCAAUUAUCGUUCAAAGAAAUGUCACCAUCUCACAAUGGAAAGAAACCCCUCAAAUUAGAUCUUAAACUAAUGGCUGCAUAGUUCUAACUCAGAACUAUUUCAUUACUGUUCAGUUAUAUACCAAUACUUGAUUAUUUCUAUAACAAUGAUAUAACUACUGAAGAUUAGAAAAGCUAAAGAUAUUUCUGUAAGUUAUAAUUUUUAUAAAACAAAUACAUUGAUAAAUUCCCCUUUUUUUAACUGUUUUCUCUAUAUUCAGAUGCUAUUUACUGAGCCUGAAUUUAAAAACUCUUGAGUAUCAUUAAAAUAGCAAACUUAAAAUCAGUCAAACCAUAUCAGAAAUGAACCUGGCAAAAAACCUGGCAUCCUGGGGAUUUUUGCCUUUCAAAAAGUAUAGCAGGGAAAGCUAAUUACAGAAAGGAAAAUGAUCACUUUGUUUUGUAUUAUGAUGAAGAGUCCACACAUCUGAAAGUUAAAUCUAAUGCUAGGAUAGAGUUGGUUCUUCUGUUUUAACUCUGGGAAAAUAUUAAACUCAGGGGACAUAUCUAACAGCUCAAUCACGAAUAUGGCUUUUCUUCUUUCCAAAGAACACGUACAGCCUGGGCUGCCUGGAAUCACUGUACUAAACCUUGGUGCCUAGAAUGAAUUACAAGUCACUGAUUGUAAUGCAAGCUUGUCUAUCUUACUAGCUGUGUCAGCAACAUCCUCAAAUACAGGAGCAUAGUUCUUUCGCAGAUUUCUACACACAGAGAAUUAAGAGAGAUCACAACACAGUCGUUUGUUUUACUAUUUCCCUUGGUUUUUUCUAUUUUUUAAUUGUCCAAUUAAAAAAAAAGCAGAAAGUGAGCUAGAUGGCAGCAAAAGAACUAUGCUCCUGUAUUUGAGGAUGUUGCUGCCUUUGUGGCAAGAGUUAGCAACAGCACUAAAUUAGGGCCUGUUAACACCUUUCUGUUCAAGCACCAGCAGAAGCAAGAGAGCUACCAUUUCCCGGGUGGCUCACACUCAGCUCUCCAGCUUCUCUUCCCCCCCCGUACAGAGGCAUCAUCCACUGUUCUGUGAAUGUGUAAGCAUACUGUGAAAGCUGCGCUAACGUGAGGAAAUAAUACUCCUAAUAAGACUUUGUGAAUUGAACUAUUAACUAUUUUUAUCAUACUAAUUUAAUGUUUUCUACAUAUAUUAUAUGUGAAAAAUUUUGUCAGAAUUUCAGUAAUUACUGUGAAAAAAAGGUAUUAAAAAUAACUCAGUGACAAUCAUUAUAACAUUAAAAAACAAGCGUAAUGGUUUCAUAAAGAAAUAAAUAAUAAACAAUAGACUGGAAAUCAAAAAACCUGAGUCUUAAUCUUAGUUUUACUACCAAGUAAACAAGUGAAUUCGAAUAAUAUUUUUUUAAUUUCUUUUUCUCAUUAGCUAAAAAAAAGGAAGGCGGUAGAAAACUGGAAUAUAAAAUUGUUAAAUUCAUUCCUGCUCCAAAACCACACAUUGUAAUAUUUAGAAAGCAUUUAAAAAUGGUAUUCACUGUAUGAAAUACAUAAAUAAGUAGAGGUUUAUAUUUAAGAUUAAUUGAAGGCAAAGGUGGUGUCUUUAUAAAAGUUUAAUGAGAGCCAGCCCUGACGGCCUAAGGGUUAGAGUUUGGUGUGCUCUGCUUCAGUGGUGCGGGUUCAGUUCUCAGGUGUGGAACCAUACCAGUUGCCUGUCAGUAGCCAUGCUGUGGCAGCAGCUCACAUAGAAGAACUAGAAGAAUUUACAACUAUACACAACUAUGUACUGGGGCUUGUGGGGGCAGAAAGGAAGAAAAAAGGAGGAAGAUUGGCAACAGAUGUUAGCUUAGGGCAAAUCUUCCCCUUGUGAAUCUCAAUAGUUGAACAAAAUUAGGGGAGCUUUAUGAAACCUCGAGUUCAGAUUUCUCUAUGUGGUCUUCUCCAGCUCUAGCCCACUCCCACCUGGUAACACUAUGGUUGGACUGAAUUUCUCCAUUGCCUUUGGUUCCAAGUUCUGAGCUUUCUUCUCUUGUGUCCCCCUACUAUGGAAAAAGGACAAAUAUUUCUGGAAAUUUUAUACAUUUCAGGUCAUUGAUUAUCUUUGUACUCAGGAGGAAUGCAGGAAAGGCAAGAUGAGGACUCACAAUCUCACAUGCUCAUAAAGGGCAAGAAAACAUGGUAAAUGAGUGAAGGGGUGGGGGUAACAAGAAUCAAAUAUGAGAAUUAUCAUCAUAUCCUUGAUUGUACUUUGGUACAAGCAUGUGACAUAAAUAUACAGUAUUAGGGAUUAAAUUUUAUGAUGUAACAUUCAAAUAACAAAUUAAAAAUAAGUAUUUUGGUUAUUGUGUUUUUCUUCUAUAAUUCAUUAUUUUUUUAUCUUGAACCAGAGAAAUGUGACAUUUUUCAUCUGCGUCAUCUGGGAGCAAUAUUAAUUUUAUUCAAAUUAAUAAUGUAAAACUUUUUCACAGAUGUGGUUUUUCCAAAACAUAGAUUCCUUGCUCAAUUUUAUUGCAUAUUUAAAAUAUCUGAGUUAUUUACAGAAUUCAGUUCAUGGUUAGUUUUCAGAACUACACUUCAGUAUGCUAACUUCCACUUUUUAGCUCUUUAUUCAUAUUAUCAAUAUUAGUUAAGAAAAGGAAAAUUUAUCCAAGUUAGUCCAUUUUUAUAAAUUUUGAAAUCAAAUAACUUUUUUAGAAUUCAAUUCUUAGUUCCACAAGGGGUAGUCACCACUUAAAUUUCUGGAAAAUGAUGUCUGCAUAUGAAAGUAGGCUAGAUUUUUCCUGGUUAAGUGAGUUUCCCAAAGGCACAAUUUGGUUAGAAAUUAGAUGAAUAAAAUGAAUGCUUCAUUUGUGUAACUGGUUGUGAACACACUUGUAGAGAAAUAGAGUGUAUAUAAGGUCAACCAGAGAUCCAAUCUGACUAAAUCUUCACUAAUGAGUUCAGCUAACACUUUCUUUAGAUAACAAAAACCAAUUUCUUAUAAACAUCCAAAGAAAAAUCUCUUUAGUCUCACACUGCCUCUAUUGUGCAUACAACUCAUUAAGUAUUGUUCAAAGCAUAGCAGCACAUCCAUCUCAUAGUAUUCAUUGCCACCUUCAAGACAUGUUCUCUUGCUUUCAGUUAAAUGUGAUUCCCACUGAAUUAUGAAAUAAACAUACAUUGUAUGACUUGUGCAAAUUGCCAGCAUGGGUUUAAGUUUUGUAAAACAAGCCCAGUCUUAGCACUGACUUGGUGGAGCACAUCCCGCAGCCGUUUACCCACUUCACUCAACACACAAAAAUAAUCUCCUGAUAUGGCCAUCACUGGCACAACGUUCAAAAGCUAUUCAAAUACUUAAAACCUUCCAGGCACCACAAAUGACUGUAGCUAACCCGGUGAUACAUAUAUCUUAUAUCUAUACUCUCAUAGGCUGGAGGGGAAAAACUAUAAAUGAUUUAACAUUUUCAUGCAAAUUUGUACUAUAAGUCCCUUCACUCUAGUUUCAACAUGCUAAGAAAUAUUUUACCUGGUUAAACUUUUAUUUGCAAAUGCUGGUUUCUGCUGAGGAUGCAAUUUCUGCUGCAAUCGCCCUUUCUAUAAACCCAUCAUUGGUGAAAGGUUUUCAUGCCAAGAAAAUUUUGUUUACUUAACACAUGUUACACCAUUGUCACUGCUGUAAUUCCCCUUGUGUUCAGUCCGUUAAGUUUUUUCCUUGUUUGUCAUUAACAUGUCUUUGCUAUUCUGGUUAUACUUCUUAUUGCUGUUGGUUUCAUAACAGCUUCUUAAGUCAUGUGUGAUAGUCGUGUAGGAACAGUCUCUACUUCCACAAUACGCUCUUCUCCUUCUCUUGAAACACAUGGCUGCGUCAGUCUUCCAUUUUCCUGUUUUUACUGGAGAGAAAAACAGUAUGAUGUGAUAAAAAAAGGCAACUCCUAGUCCAUGUUAGAGAAACAAGGUAGUGGUGGGAAUUGUGAUAAACUGGAGAAUACCCGCCCAAUGGCAGCAGCUUUUAAGAAUUAGAUCAGGUUUCCCUAAAAACCCAAAAUAACUUAGCUUAAAUAAAAUAUAAAUGCUUUUCUUUUGAUAAAAGUCCAGAAGGCGGUCCUCAGCUGGUAUGCUAGUUCCAAGAGCACUAGGAAACUAGGCACUAGCUUUAUCUUACUGCUCUUGCACCCUCUGUCAGCAGCUGCC